GGGUUGUGAGGUUAAGCGAAUAAGCGUACACGGUGGAUGCCUAGGCAAUCAGAGGCGAUGAAGGACGUGCUAAUCUGCGAUAAGCGUCGGUAAGGUGAUAUGAACCGUUAUACCCGACGAUUUCCGAAUGGGGAAACCCAAUAUCCAAUGGAUAUUAUCAUGACGUGAAUACAUAGUGUCAUGAAGCGAACCGGGAGAACUGAAACAUCUCAGUACCCCGAGGAAAAGAAAUCAACCGAGAUUCCCCUAGUAGCGGCGAGCGAACGGGGAACAGCCCAGAGUCUUAAUCAAUAGCAGCAUCAGGAGAACGGUCUGGAAAGUCCGGCAGUAAAGGGUGAUAGCCCCGUAUCUGAAGAUGCUGUUAUUGUGAACUCGAUGAGUAGGGCGGGACACGUGUUAUCCUGUCUGAAUAUGGGGGGACCAUCCUCCAAGGCUAAAUACUCCUGAUUGACCGAUAGUGAACCAGUACCGUGAGGGAAAGGCGAAAAGAACCCCGGCGAGGGGAGUGAAAAAGAACCUGAAACCGUGUACGUACAAGCAGUAGGAGCCUCUUUAUGGGGUGACUGCGUACCUUUUGUAUAAUGGGUCAGCGACUUAUAUUCUGUAGCAAGGUUAACCGUAUAGGGGAGCCGUAGGGAAACCGAGUCUUAACUGGGCGAAUGAGUUGCAGGGUAUAGACCCGAAACCCGGUGAUCUAUCCAUGGGCAGGUUGAAGGUUGGGUAACACUAACUGGAGGACCGAACCGACUAAUGUUGAAAAAUUAGCGGAUGACUUGUGGAUGGGGGUGAAAGGCCAAUCAAACCGGGAGAUAGCUGGUUCUCCCCGAAAGCUAUUUAGGUAGCGCCUCGUGAACUCAUCUUCGGGGGUAGAGCACUGUUUCGACUAGGGGGUCAUCCCGACUUACCAACUCGAUGCAAACUGCGAAUACCGAAGAAUGUUAUCACGGGAGACACACGGCGGGUGCUAACGUCCGUCGUGAAGAGGGAAACAACCCAGACCGCCAGCUAAGGUCCCAAAGUCAUGGUUAAGUGGGAAACGAAGUGGGAAGGCUCAGACAGCCAGGAUGUUGGCUUAGAAGCAGCCAUCAUUUAAAGAAAGCGUAAUAGCUCACUGGUCGAGUCGGCCCGCGCGGAAGAUGUAACGGGGCUAAACCAUGCACCGAAGCUGCGGCAGCGACACUAUGUGUUGUUGGGUAGGGGAGCGUUCUGUAAGCCUGCGAAGGUGUACUGUGAGGUAUGCUGGAGGUAUCAGAAGUGCGAAUGCUGACAUAAGUAACGAUAAUGCGGGUGAAAAACCCGCACGCCGGAAGACCAAGGGUUCCUGUCCAACGUUAAUCGGGGCAGGGUGAGUCGACCCCUAAGGCGAGGCUGAAAAGCGUAGUCGAUGGGAAACGGGUUAAUAUUCCCGUACUGGUGGUAACUGCGAUGGGGGAACGGAGAAGGCUAGGUUGUCCGGGCGACGGUCGUCCCGGUUCAAGCAUGUAGGCAGAGUGAUUAGGCAAAUCCGGUCACUUAAUGCUGAGGUGUGAUGACGAGCCACUAAGGUGGUGAAGCAAUUGAUGCCCUGCUUCCAGGAAAAGCCUCUAAGCUUCAGGUUACCAACAAUCGUACCCCAAACCGACACAGGUGGUCAGGUAGAGAAUACUCAGGCGCUUGAGAGAACUCGGGUGAAGGAACUAGGCAAAAUGGUGCCGUAACUUCGGGAGAAGGCACGCUGGCGGUAAGUGAAGUCCCUCGCGGACGGAGCCGAAGCCAGUCGAAGAUACCAGCUGGCUGCAACUGUUUAUUAAAAACACAGCACUGUGCAAACACGAAAGUGGACGUAUACGGUGUGACGCCUGCCCGGUGCUGGAAGGUUAAUUGAUGGGGUUAUCCGUAAGGAGAAGCUCUUGAUCGAAGCCCCAGUAAACGGCGGCCGUAACUAUAACGGUCCUAAGGUAGCGAAAUUCCUUGUCGGGUAAGUUCCGACCUGCACGAAUGGCGUAAUGAUGGCCAGGCUGUCUCCACCCGAGACUCAGUGAAAUUGAACUCGCUGUGAAGAUGCAGUGUACCCGCGGCAAGACGGAAAGACCCCGUGAACCUUUACUAUAGCUUGACACUGAACAUUGAGCCUUGAUGUGUAGGAUAGGUGGGAGACUUUGAAGUGUGGACGCCAGUCUGCAUGGAGUCAACCUUGAAAUACCACCCUUUAACGUUUGAUGUUCUAACCUAGGUCCAUAAUCUGGAUCGGGGACCGUGUCUGGUGGGUAGUUUGACUGGGGCGGUCUCCUCCUAAAGAGUAACGGAGGAGCACGAAGGUUGGCUAAGCAUGGUCGGACAUCAUGCGGUUAGUGCAAAGGCAUAAGCCAGCUUGACUGUGAGAGUGACGGCUCGAGCAGGUACGAAAGUAGGUCUUAGUGAUCCGGUGGUUCUGAAUGGAAGGGCCAUCGCUCAACGGAUAAAAGGUACUCCGGGGAUAACAGGCUGAUACCGCCCAAGAGUUCAUAUCGACGGCGGUGUUUGGCACCUCGAUGUCGGCUCAUCACAUCCUGGGGCUGAAGUAGGUCCCAAGGGUAUGGCUGUUCGCCAUUUAAAGUGGUACGCGAGCUGGGUUUAGAACGUCGUGAGACAGUUCGGUCCCUAUCUGCCGUGGGCGUUGGAAGAUUGAGAGGGGUUGCUCCUAGUACGAGAGGACCGGAGUGAACGCACCACUGGUGUUCGGGUUGUCAUGCCAAUGGCAUUGCCCGGUAGCUAAGUGCGGAAGAGAUAACCGCUGAAAGCAUCUAAGCGGGAAACUUGCCUCGAGAUGAGUCUUCCCUGUCACCUUGAGUGACCUAAAGGAACGUUUAAGACUAAGACGUUGAUAGGCUGGGUGUGUAAGCGUAGCGAUACGUUGAGCUAACCAGUACUAAUGAACCGUGAGGCUUAACCUGACAACACCGAAGGUGUUU
rnacentral:rRNA from 1 species